UACGAAGGGAGCUAGCGCUGUUCGGAAUCACUGGGCGUAAAGCGCACGUAGGCGGACUUGUCAGUCAGGGGUGAAAUCCCGGGGCUCAACCUCGGAACUGCCUCUGAUACAGCAAGUCUUGAGUCCGGAAGAGGUGGGUGGAAUUCCUAGUGUAGAGGUGAAAUUCGUAGAUAUUAGGAAGAACACCGGUGGCGAAGGCGGCCCACUGGUCCGGUACUGACGCUGAGGUGCGAAAGCGUGGGGAGCAAACAGG
rnacentral:rRNA from 1 species